rnacentral:ribozyme from 14 species
AACAAAGAAAAAAAGAAAGAGGAAGAAGACGAUCAGUUUUUCUUCUUGUCCUUCUUUUUGUCCUUGCUCUUCUUUUCUUUCUUUUCUUUCUUUUCCUUCUUUU